rnacentral:rRNA from 1 species
CCCGACUCCAUGAAGCUGGAUUCGCUAGUAAUCGCGCAUCAGCCACGGCGCGGUGAAUACGUUCCCGGGCCUUGUACACACCGCCCGUCAAGCCAUGGAAGCCGGGAGUGCCUGAAGUACGCGACCGCAAGGAGCGUCCUAAGGUAAAACCGGUGACUGGGGCUAAGUCGUAACAAGGUACC